rnacentral:sRNA from 1 species
UUUAGAAAUGAGGCUCUAGGGCAUACUACUUGAAAGGAAUAUGUGCAUCUUUUUAUAUCAUCUUUGCUCUGUCAACCAGCUUUUGUUUAAUAUUUUGGUGAUGAGAAAUUCACUGCUUAUGAACUAGACCAUUCUUUUUGCUUAUUUAUCAUGUCAAAACAGAGAAGUGAACUUCAACUGUGAUUAUAAAGCACAGUGGAGUGGAGAUUUUUAUUGUAGGAAUUACAAAGCAAAGUACUAAACUGACACUGUAGAUAUCUUAAUGCAAUUCAGACAAUGUGUCCACACAUUCUUCGCUAUUUGACUACAGCAGUCAUAACAAACAAGGAUGUUCGAAAACGUCGGCAGGUUCUAAAAGAUCUAGUUAAAGUUAUUCAACAGGAGUCUUACACAUAUAAAGACCCAAUUACAGAAUUUGU